CCUACGGGGGGCAGCAGUGGGGGAUAUUGCACAAUGGGGGGAACCCUGAUGCAGCGACGCCGCGUGGGUGAAGGAGCGUUUCGGCGCGUAAAGCCCUAUCGGCAGGGAAGAAGAUGACGGUACCUGGCCAAGAAGCCCCGGCUAACUACGUGCCAGCAGCCGCGGUAAUACGUAGGGGGCAAGCGUUAUCCGGAUUUACUGGGUGUAAAGGGGGCGCAGACGGCAAUGCAAGCCAGGAGUGAAAGCCCGGGGCCCAACCCCGGGACUGCGCUUGGAACUGCAGGGCUGGAGUACAGGAGGGGCAGGCGGAAUGCCUAGGGUAGCGGUGAAAUGCGUAGAUAGUAGGAGGAACACCGGUGGCGAAGGCGGCCUGCUGGACUGUGACUGACGUUGAGGCCCGAAGGCGUGGGGAACAAACAGGAUUAGAUACCCGGGUAGUC
rnacentral:rRNA from 1 species